rnacentral:rRNA from 1 species
CCUACGGGACGCAGCAGUAGGGAAUCUUCCACAAUGGACGAAAGUCUGAUGGAGCAACGCCGCGUGAGUGAAGAAGGGUUUCGGCUCGUAAAGCUCUGUUGGUAGUGGAGAAAGAUAGGGGUAGUAACUGGCCUUUAUUUGACGGGAAUUACUUAGAAAGUCACGGCUAACUACGUGCCCGCAGCCGCGGUAAUACGUAGGUGGCAAGCGUUGUCCGGAUUUAUUGGGGGUAAAAUGAG